GGUUAUAGCUCAGUGGUAGAGUGCUUGCCUCGGAUGCCGGAGGCACUGGGUUCGAUUUCUCAGAACCA
rnacentral:tRNA from 1 species